UGUGGGUAGCGGUGAAAUUCCAAACGAACUUGGAGAUAGCUGGUUCUCUCCGAAAUAGCUUUAGGGCUAGCCUCGCAAAGAGGAUGCUGGAGGUAGAGCUCUGUUUGGACUAGGGGCCCGUCAAGGGUUACUGAAUUCAGAUAAACUGCGAAUUCCAGACAUUUAUGUGCGGGAGUCAGACUGCGAGUGAUAAGAUCCGUAGUCGAAAGGGAAACAGCCCAGAUCACCAGUUAAGGUCCCAAAAUUCAUGCUAAGUGGAAAAGGAUGUGGAGUUGCGCAGACAACUAGGACGUUGGCUCAGAAGCAGCCAUCAUUCAAAGAGUGCGUAAUAGCUCACUAGUCGAGUGACGCCGCGCCGAAAAUUUACCGGGGCUAAGCAUGAUACCGAAACUGUGGAUGUGCAUUUAUGCACGUGGUAGGAGAGCGUUCUAGCGGCGGUGAAGCAUGACCGAGAGGACAUGUGGAGCUUCUAGAAGUGAGAAUGCCGGUAUGAGUAACGAAAGACAGGUGAGAAUCCUGUCCGCCGCAAGACUAAGGUUUCCUGGGGCAGGCUCGUCCGCCCAGGGUAAGUCGGGACCUAAGGCGAGGCCGAGAGGCGUAGUCGAUGGACAACAGGUUGAAAUUCCUGUACUGCACCGA
rnacentral:rRNA from 1 species